rnacentral:rRNA from 1 species
UACGGAGGAUCCAAGCGUUAUCCGGAUUUAUUGGGUUUAAAGGGUGCGUAGGCGGACCGGUAAGUCAGUGGUGAAAGUUUGCAGCUCAACUGUAAAAUUGCCAUUGAAACUGUGGGUCUUGAGUGUAAAUAAGGUAGGCGGAAUGUGUUGUGUAGCGGUGAAAUGCUUAGAUAUAACACAGAACACCAAUUGCGAAGGCAGCUUACUGGGAUACAACUGACGCUGAGGCACGAAAGCGUGGGGAUCAAACAGG